AGACAUGAUGCUAACCCACAGGUCUCUGGAGCAGCUGCUGGUCUCUCUCCAGUGGGGUCGACAGCAGACCUACUACCCCAGUGGCCAGCCACUCAGCACGGGAGAACUAGCCCUAGCCAAUCACAAGCUGGCGGACGCCAUCAACUCCCGCCUGCUGGGAAGGUUGGGCCAGUAGGGAGCAGCAGUGGAGCCGGGCUGGGGGAAAGGAAGACAGGUCUCAGAGCUCCCUAACACCUCACACGCCUGCUGAGAAGAUGGCUGAGAAGGUGUUGAAGAUCCUGGACCCGAUUUCCUGUUCAGACAACGAGGAAGAGCCCUCCCCCCUCUCUAUCUCCGACUCCUCCCCUCGGCCUUCCUGACCAAUAAGAAGAGCAUCGGCCGGUUCCACCCUUACACUCGCUAUGAGAACAUCACCUUCAACUGCUGCGAGCGCUGCAGCGGAGACAUCCUGGUCCUCUAGGGGCCAGAGGGCAGGGGUCGUGACCUUUAACCUGGACAGGUCGCGCAGGCCGCUGUGAGGAACACCAGUCGACUCUCACUCCGUCGAACCGUCUGGUUUCACAGCGGGACUUGACUGGAAGCACGGCAGAAGCUGACGAAACAACCGCUGAUUUUAAUUGGCUGAUCUCUCUCAGUCCGUCACCGUCUCAUAACUCUUAGAACCUUCCACGACAUUGUGGGCUUCAGAACGUGAGCAGAGCAAGUGAUUUAAACAAGGAAGUGAGUUCGGAGAAUCUGAAAGUGUUCCAUCUUAGAAUCAAUGGGGCUUCCCAAAAAUAAUAUGGUCAAAGUCGGACCACGGACGGCCGAGUGUCUGUGGGUUUCUGGUCCUUCCUUGUACUUGACUGGUGAAUUGAGGUUACUGAUUAGUAAGCAACUACCUUCACCUGGUUGUCUAGGUUACUAAUUAGUAAGGAACUCUCCUCACCUGGUUGUCUAGGUUACUGAUUAGUAAGCAACUACCUUCACCUGGUUGUCUAGGUAACUAAUUAGUAAGGAACUCUCCUCACCUGGUUGUCUAGGUUACUAAUUAGUAAGGAACUCUCCUCACCUGGUUGUCUAGGUUACUGAUUAGUAAGCAACUACCUUCACCUGGUUGUCUAGGUUACUAAUUAUUAAGGAACUCU